rnacentral:tRNA from 1 species
UAUAAUUUAGUAUAUUAUGUAUGUAAGUUUUUGAUACUUAAGGAGUUAGAUUAAACUAAUAAUUAUAA